GUAGUCAUAUGCUUGUCUCAAAGAUUAAGCCAUGCAGGUCUUAGUAUAAACUUGAAAAAAGUGAAACCGCGAAUGGCUCAUUACAUCAGUUAUGGUUCCUUAGAUCUUCGGUUUCCUACUUGGAUAACCCUGGAAAAUCUAGAGCUAAUACAUGAAAAUGAAGCUCCGACCUUUGGGAAGGAGCGUUCUUGUUAGAUCAAAAUCAAUCGGGGCUUCGGCUCCGUUUCUUGGUGAAUCUAAACAAUUUUGAGCAGAUCGCACAGUCUUGUACUGGCGACGACUCUUUCAAAUAUCUGCCUUAUCAACUCGAUGGUAGGUUAUGCGCCUACCAUGGUUGUAACGGGUAACGGAGAAUCAGGGUUCGAUACCGGAGAGGGAGCCUGAGAAACGGCUACCACAUCCAAGGAAGGCAGCAGGCACGCAAAUUACCCAAUCCCGGCUCGGGGAGGUAGUGACGAAAAAUAACAAUACGGGACUCAUCCGAGGCCCCGUAAUUGGAAUGACUACAAUUUAAAUCCUUUAAGAAGGAUCCAUUGGAGGGCAAGUCUGGUGCCAGCAGCCGCGGUAAUUCCAGCUCCAAUAGCGUAUAUUAAAGUUGCUGCAGUUAAAAAGCUCGUAGUUGGAUCUCAGUUACGGGCAGGUGGUUCACUUUACAGUGCUACUACCUGAAUCGAACCUAUUGCUGGAUCUCUUGGGUGCCCUUCACUGGGUGCCCCAUGAGACCAGAGCGUUUACUUUGAGAAAAUUAGAGUGCUCAAAGCAGGCGAAUGCCUGAAUAGUUGUGCAUGGAAUAAUAAAAUAUGACCUCGGUGCCAUUUUGUUGGUUCACGGUGCUCGAGGUAAUGGUUAAAAGGGACUGACGGGGGCAUUCGUAUUGCGACGUUAGAGGUGAAAUUCUUAGAUCGUCGCAAGACGGACUACUGCGAAAGCAUUUGCCAAGAAUGUCUUCAUUAAUCAAGAACGAAAGUCAGAGGUUCGAAGGCGAUCAGAUACCGCCCUAGUUCUGACCUUAAACGAUGCUAACUGGCGAUCCAGUGGGGGUAUUUAAAAUGACCUGCUGGGCAGCUUCUGGGAAACCAAAGUUUAUGGGUUCCGGGGGAAGUAUGGUUGCAAAGCUGGAACUUAAAGGAAUUGACGGAAGGGCACCACCAGGAGUGGAGCCUGUGGCUUAAUUUGACCCAACACGGGAAACCUCACCAGGCCCAGACACUAGAAGGAUUGACAGAUUGAGAGCUCUUUCUUGAUUUGGUGGAUGGUGGUGCAUGGCCGUUCUUAGUUGGUGGAGUGAUUUGUCUGGUUAAUUCCGAUAACGAACGAGACUUUAGCCUACUAAAUAGAUGGAGGAUACUCAAAAGAGUCCUCAUCGUCUUCUUAGAGGGACAAGGCAGCUUCAAGCUGCAUGAGAAAAGGCAAUAACAGGUCUGUGAUGCCCUUAGAUGUUCUGGGCCGCACACGCGCUACAAUAAAAGGCGCAGCGUGUCUUCCUGACUCGAUAGAGUUGGGUAACCCUCACAAUGUCUUUUGUGCUAGGGAUUGGGCUUUGAAAUUAUCGCCCAUGAACGAGGAAUUCCCAGUAAGUGCAAGUCAUAAGCUUGUGCUGACUACGUCCCUGCCCUUUGUACACACCGCCCGUCGCUACUACCGAUUGAAUGAUUUAGUGAGGACUUCGGACUGGUGCUAAUACGGCCUCACGGUUGCGUUGGUUUACUGGGAAGAUGCCCAAACUGCCUCAUUUAGAGGAAGUAAAAGUCGUAACAAGGUUUCCGUAGGUGAACCUGCGGAAGGAUCACUG
rnacentral:rRNA from 1 species